GAUGAACGCUGGCGGCGUGCCUAAUACAUGCAAGUCGAGCGAACGGACGAGAAGCUUGCUUCUCUGAUGUUAGCGGCGGACGGGUGAGUAACACGUGGAUAACCUACCUAUAAGACUGGGAUAACUUCGGGAAACCGGAGCUAAUACCGGAUAAUAUUUUGAACCGCAUGGUUCAAAAGUGAAAGACGGUCUUGCUGUCACUUAUGGAUGGAUCCGCGCUGCAUUAGCUAGUUGGUAAGGUAACGGCUUACCAAGGCAACGAUGCAUAGCCGACCUGAGAGGGUGAUCGGCCACACUGGAACUGAGACACGGUCCAGACUCCUACGGGAGGCAGCAGUAGGGAAUCUUCCGCAAAGGGCGAAAGCCUGACGGAGCAACGCCGCGUGAGUGAUGAAGGUCUUCGGAUCGUAAAACUCUGUUAUUAGGGAAGAACAUAUGAGUAAGUAACUGUGCACAUCUUGACGGUACCUAAUCAGAAAGCCACGGCUAACUACGUG
rnacentral:rRNA from 1 species